AUCGAUUUCCCAAAAACAAGCAAAAAUCAUGACUCUUCAUUUGUUGGAGGUGUUCAGAACUACUAACUCAAAAAAAACAGAGUUGAUCAGCCACAUCAUGCCUGCAAGUGUGUACGUACACCCGAGUGAAAGCCAACUCCUCCUGCCAAACAUGCUUCAUGAAGGACAGCGAACUGAGGGUUGUUUCAGGUAUCUGGUUAGAGUAUUUGUUGAAAUAAUUCAGUUAAAUAAUUAUAAGGACAACCUUCAGAAUCCACAGCCCAGUUGGUUGCAUUAAUAAAACAAUAAAA